rnacentral:rRNA from 1 species
UCAAAUGACUCUCGGCAAUGGAUAUCUCGGCUCUUGCAUCGAUGAAGAACGUAGUGAAAUGCGAUACUUGGUGUGAAUUGCAGAAUCUCGUGAACCAUUGAGUCUUUGAACGCAAGUUGUGCCCGAGGCCUUAUGGUCGAGGGCACGCCUGCUUGGGCAUCAUGA